rnacentral:rRNA from 1 species
AUUGAACGCUGGCGGCAGGCCUAACACAUGCAAGUCGAGCGGAUGCAGGGAGCUUGCUCCUGGAUUCAGCGGCGGACGGGUGUGUAAUGCCUAGGAAUCUGCCUGGUAGUGGGGGAUAACGUCCGGAAACGGGCGCUAAUACCGCAUACGUCCUGAGGGAGAAAGUGGGGGAGCUUCGGACCUCACGCUAUCAGAUGAGCCUAGGUCGGAUUAGCUAGUUGGUGGGGUAAAGGCCUACCAAGGCGACGAUCCGUAACUGGUCUGAGAGGAUGAUCAGUCACACUGGAACUGAGACACGGUCCAGACUCCUACGGGGGGCAGCAGUGGGGAAUAUUGGACAAUGGGCGAAAGCCUGAUCCAGCCAUGCCGCGUGUGUGAAGAAGGUCUUCGGAUUGUAAAGCACUUUAAGUUGGGAGGAAGGGCAGUAAGUUAAUACCUUGCUGUUUUGACGUUACCAAAAGAAUAAGCACCGGCUAACUUCGUG